CACAAAAUUUAUAUACUAAAAUUAUAAAAUUUUGGAUAUUUAUGGAGAAAAUCUUUUCUGA
rnacentral:tRNA from 1 species